UACGUAGGGCGCAAGCGUUAUCCGGAAUUAUUGGGCGUAAAGAGCUCGUAGGCGGUUUGUCGCGUCUGCCGUGAAAGUCCGGGGCUCAACUCCGGAUCUGCGGUGGGUACGGGCAGACUAGAGUGAUGUAGGGGAGACUGGAAUUCCUGGUGUAGCGGUGAAAUGCGCAGAUAUCAGGAGGAACACCGAUGGCGAAGGCAGGUCUCUGGGCAUGUCCUGCCGCUGAGGAGCGAAAGUGUGGGGAGCGAACAGG
rnacentral:rRNA from 1 species